UACGGAGGGGGCUAGCGUUGUUCGGAAUUACUGGGCGUAAAGCGCGCGUGGGCGGCUUUGCAAGUUAGAGGUGAAAGCCCGAAGCUCAACUUCGGAAUUGCCUUUAAAACUGCGAGGCUAGAAUUGUGGAGAGGUAAGUGGAAUUCCGAGUGUAGAGGUGAAAUUCGUAGAUAUUCGGAAGAACACCAGUGGCGAAGGCGACUUACUGGACACAUAUUGACGCUGAGGUGCGAAAGCGUGGGGAGCAAACAGG
rnacentral:rRNA from 1 species